rnacentral:rRNA from 1 species
CUAGUUGGUGAGGUAACGGCUCACCAAGGCCACGAUGCAUAGCCGACCUGAGAGGGUGAUCGGCCACAUUGGGACUGAGACACGGCCCAAACUCCUACGGGAGGCAGCAGUAGGGAAUCUUCGGCAAUGGACGAAAGUCUGACCGAGCAACGCCGCGUGAGUGAAGAAGGUUUUCGGAUCGUAAAACUCUGUUGUUAGAGAAGAACAAGGAUGAGAGUAACUGUUCAUCCCUUGACGGUAUCUAACCAGAAAGCCACGGCUAACUACGUGCCAGCAGCCGCGGUAAUACGUAGGUGGCAAGCGUUGUCCGGAUUUAUUGGGCGUAAAGCGAGCGCAGGCGGUUUCUUAAGUCUGAUGUGAAAGCCCCCGGCUCAACCGGGGAGGGUCAUUGGAAACUGGGAGACUUGAGUGCAGAAGAGGAGAGUGGAAUUCCAUGUGUAGCGGUGAAAUGCGUAGAUAUAUGGAGGAACACCAGUGGCGAAGGCGGCUCUCUGGUCUGUAACUGACGCUGAGGCUCGAAAGCGUGGGGAGCAAACAGGAUUAGAUACCCUGGUAGUCCACGCCGUAAACGAUGAGUGCUAAGUGUUGGAGGGUUUCCGCCCUUCAGUGCUGCAGCUAACGCAUUAAGCACUCCGCCUGGGGAGUACGACCGCAAGGUUGAAACUCAAAGGAAUUGACGGGGGCCCGCACAAGCGGUGGAGCAUGUGGUUUAAUUCGAAGCAACGCGAAGAACCUUACCAGGUCUUGACAUCCUUUGACCACUCUAGAGAUAGAGCUUCCCCUUCGGGGGCAAAGUGACAGGUGGUGCAUGGUUGUCGUCAGCUCGUGUCGUGAGAUGUUGGGUUAAGUCCCGCAACGAGCGCAACCCUUAUUGUUAGUUGCCAUCAUUCAGUUGGGCACUCUAGCAAGACUGCCGGUGACAAACCGGAGGAAGGUGGGGAUGACGUCAAAUCAUCAUGCCCCUUAUGACCUGGGCUACACACGUGCUACAAUGGGAAGUACAACGAGUCGCGAAGUCGCGAGGCUAAGCUAAUCUCUUAAAGCUUCUCUCAGUUCGGAUUGCAGGCUGCAACUCGCCUGCAUGAAGCCGGAAUCGCUAGUAAUCGCGGAUCAGCACGCCGCGGUGAAUACGUUCCCGGGCCUUGUACACACCGCCCGUCACACCACGAGAGUUUGUAACACCCGAAGUCGGUGAGGUAACCUUUUGGAGCCAGCCGCCUAAGGUGGGAUAGAUGAUUGGGGUGAAGUCGUAACAAGGUAGCCGUAUCGGAAGGUGCGGCUGGAUCACCU